AAAUCCGGCGACUUUAUAAGUCGUGAGGGCUCAAAGCCCUCUAUCCCCA
rnacentral:tRNA from 1 species